UACGUAGGGAGCAAGCGUUGUCCGGAAUCAUUGGGCGUAAAGCGCGCGUAGGUGGCCUCAUAAGUCCGCUGUGAAAGUCAAAGGCUCAACCUUUGAAAGCCGGUGGAUACUGUGAGGCUAGAGUACGGAAGAGGCGAGUGGAAUUCCUGGUGUGGCGGUGGAAUGCGCAGAUAUCAGGAGGAACACCAAUAGCGAAGGCAGCUCGCUGGGACGUUACUGACACUGAGGCGCGAAAGCGUGGGGAGCGAACAGG
rnacentral:rRNA from 1 species